rnacentral:rRNA from 1 species
ACGGGAGGCAGCAGUGGGGAAUCUUGCACAAUGGGGGAAACCCUGAUGCAGCGAUGCCGCGUGAGUGAAGAAGGCCCUUGGGUUGUAAAACUCUUUCGUCGGGGAAGAAAAUGACUGUACCCGAAUAAGAAGGUCCGGCUAACUUCGUGCCAGCAGCCGCGGUAAUACGAAGGGACCUAGCGUAGUUCGGAAUUACUGGGCUUAAAGAGCUCGUAGGUGGUUAAAAAAGUUGACGGUGAAAUCCCAAGGCUCAACCUUGGAACUGCCAUCAAAACUUUUUAGCUAGAGUGUGAUAGAGGUAAGUGGAAUUUCUAGUGUAGAGGUGAAAUUCGUAGAUAUUAGAAAGAACACCAAAUGCGAAGGCAACUUACUGGGUCACUACUGACACUGAGGAGCGAAAGCAUGGGUAGCGAAGAGGAUUAGAUACCCUCGUAGUCCAUGCCGUAAACGAUGUGUGCUAGACGUUGGAAAUAUAUUUUUCAGUGUCGCAGCGAAAGCAUUAAGCACACCGCCUGGGGAGUACGACCGCAAGGUUAAAACUCAAAUGAAUUGACGG